rnacentral:rRNA from 1 species
GACAGAGGAGCCAAGCGUUGUCCGGAUUGACUGGGCGUAAAGCGCACGCAGGCGGCCGUGCACGUGGGGUGUGAAAGCUGGCGGCUUAACUGCCAGACGCCACCUCAUACGGCACGGCUCGAGCCCGUGAGAGGUCCACGGAAUUGCCGGUGUAGUGGUGAAAUGCGUAGAGAUCGGCAGGAACACCCAGGGGGAAACCAGUGGACUGGCACGGUGCUGACGCUCAGGUGCGAAAGCGUGGGGAGCAAACAGG